rnacentral:rRNA from 1 species
AUUGAACGCUGGCGGCAGGCUUAACACAUGCAAGUCGAGCGGGGGAAGGUAGCUUGCUACCGGACCUAGCGGCGGACGGGUGAGUAAUGCUUAGGAAUCUGCCUAUUAGUGGGGGACAACAUCUCGAAAGGGAUGCUAAUACCGCAUACGUCCUACGGGAGAAAGCAGGGGAUCUUCGGACCUUGCGCUAAUAGAUGAGCCUAAGUCGGAUUAGCUAGGUGGUGGGGUAAAGGCCUACCAAGGCGACGAUCUGUAGCGGGUCUGAGAGGAUGAUCCGCCACACUGGGACUGAGACACGGCCCAGAAUCCUACGGGAGGCAGCAGUGGGGAAUAUUGGACAAUGGGGGGAACCCUGAUCCAGCCAUGCCGCGUGUGGGAAGAAGGCCUUAUGGUUGUAAAGCACUUUAAGCGAGGAGGAGGCUACUUUAGUUAAUACCUAGAGAUAGUGGACGUUACUCGCAGAAUAAGCACCGGCUAACUCUGUGCCAGCCGCCGCCGUAA